CCUACGGGAGGCAGCAGUGAGGAAUAUUGGACAAUGGGCGCAAGCCUGAUCCAGCCAUGCCGCGUGCAGGAAGACGCAUCUAUGGUGUGUAAACUGCUUUUGUACAGGAAGAAACACUCCCUCGUGAGGGAGCUUGACGGUACUGUAAGAAUAAGGAUCGGCUAACUCCGUGCCAGCAGCCGCGGUAAUACGGAGGAUCCAAGCGUUAUCCGGAAUCAUUGGGUUUAAAGGGUCCGUAGGCGGUUUAAUAAGUCAGUGGUGAAAUCUGGUCGCUCAACGAUCAAACGGCCAUUGAUACUGUUAGACUUGAAUUAUAAGGAAGUAACUAGAAUAUGUAGUGUAGCGGUGAAAUGCUUAGAUAUUACAUGGAAUACCAAUUGCGAAGGCAGGUUACUACUUAUGGAUUGACGCUGAUGGACGAAAGCGUGGGGAGCGAACAGGAUUAGAUACCCUGGUAGUCCACGCCGUAAACGAUGGAUACUAGCUGUUGGGCGCAAGUUCAGUGGCUAAGCGAAAGUGAUAAGUAUCCCACCUGGGGAGUACGUUCGCAGAAUGAAACUCAAAAGAAUUGACGG
rnacentral:rRNA from 1 species